GGACGUUUUUCAUAUGGGUGAACGGAAAAAAAGACAAGCGCGAAAUUGAGGACGUUUUGCCUCACUGAAUUGCGCAAGCGUCGCCAAACUCGCAGUUGAGGAGAUUGAGGGUCGCCCUGAACUAGGUUGGUUAUCGAUCAGGCGUUCACCGGCCUUGAAACGAGAAAACCACUCGCAUACCUGUGAUUGCUUCAGAGCAUUUU